rnacentral:tRNA from 1 species
GCCUGGGUGGCUCAGUCGGUUAAGCGUCUGACUUUGGCUCAGGUCAUGAUCUCACGGUUCGUGAGUUCGAGCCCCGCAUCGGGCU